rnacentral:lncRNA from 1 species
AGUGCCAGGACCAGAAGCAAUGGACACAAACAGAAACACAAGAUGUUCUUUCUGAACACCAGGAAACACUUCUUCCCUGAGAUGACAAAUGAGCACUGGAACAGACUGUGCAGAGAAGUUGUGGAUUACAAGCAUGUGGUUGAAAGUUUUCAAGAGUCAGAGAGAUAAAGGUCUGAAUAACCUGGUCUGAUCCUUCUGUGAGCAGGAGGUUGGGCUAGAGGCCUCCCUUUCAACCUGAAUUAUUUUAUGAGUCCAUGAGACUCUCAUAUAUUUAUCUUCUACAGCAAGUACUAUCUUAGAGAUAAUACUCUGAUUUGUUGCUCUAGCCCACAGCUACUUUCCCGGUAAUGUAAAUUUUUCAAGUACAAAAAUGCACCCAUGAUUAGUUCAUUGCAGGAUCAGGGCAACAAUGGGCAUAAGAGCCCGUAUAUAUAAUCCAAUGCUGUUUCAUACUUCUAUGUUUUUCAGAUUUCAAAUGAUGCAUCUGAUUGCCAGCAACAAACUCAAAAUCUUCAAAAAAGAAAAGAGCUGGAGCAGGGACUUAACUCUUGGACUUGGCAAGAUCAAUUCUGAAAUGAAAUUAAGGUGAAACUGAAAGAAAAUGUCUAUAUUGAAGCCCUUUUCUAUUCUAUGGUCUCAAUUCAUUGCUGAAUCGUGCCAAAAUCUUUCAUUUAAGUAAUGAAUUUGUUGAGGAAACUGAACAUGUGAAUGGACUUGGGCAAUCACUGAGAUCACUAUCAUAACUAGGCACCAAAAGGUAACCAGGUGUUGUGUGCUCUGGACUCUAUCAAGG